AUACGGAGGAUGCGAGCGUUAUCCGGAUUUAUUGGGUUUAAAGGGUGCGCAGGCUGUGCGUUAAGUCAGGGGUGAAAUGCCGUCGCUCAACGACGGAGCUGCCCUUGAUACUGGCGUGCUGGAGUACGGAUGCCGUUGGAGGAAUGAGUGGUGUAGCGGUGAAAUGCUUAGAUAUCACUCAGAACACCGAUUGCGAAGGCAUCUGACGAAUCCGUCACUGACGCUGAGGCACGAAAGCGUGGGGAUAGAACAGGAUUAGAUACCCUGGUAUUCCACGCCGUAAACGAUGAUGACUAACCGUCGGCGAUAGACAGCCGGUGGCCAAGCGAAAGCGAUAAGUCAUCCACCUGGGGAGUACGUCGGCAACGAUGAAACUCAAAGGAAUUGACGGGG
rnacentral:rRNA from 1 species